UGAGAUGGGUCAUCUCCAGCUACAUCUUGGUUUGGGCUGUAAGAGACCAAGCUCUGACAGGCAGGGAUCACACCUCCACUGGAAAUCGAAACAGCCCUCAGAGUCUCAGCUACGUGGAGAGCAAUAAAAGUCCAGCAGCACUGACAGGAACACACGGCUUAUUAGUUUAUGGCACCGUGGGACAUGGAAGCUCCCGAAAGCCAACAGGUUCUACAGCUUCCGCUAUUAAAAGCAAUUCAAUCUGAGACAAGAGAUGGGGGCCCUGGAGACGUGCUCCAGCUCCUGCUUUGUCCUGCUCCACCAGACAGCAUGGUCCAUAUGAAGCAGUGACCUCGCUGUGCAGCACAGACACCCACCCACCACUUCAAUGGAGACCACCACAACAGUCGUUCCUCUUUUCCUCGUACCAGAUCCCCCUCGCCUGCCCAGCACCACUGUGCCAGAGCAGAGUGGCAAAGGUUCCGUGACUCCUUCCCACUGCCCUUAGGACAGUCAAAGCUCCAAGCACCAAACAGCAGCCUGACACAUGGUGAACUCCUGAAACUGUUUUAAUAAUCCCUUUCCCUACACUAACCAGGCUUCAGACAGGAGAAUACGAACAUAUGAUGGAGAAGAGCAGCACCGCUGCCUGUAUUGGAAGCAGUGUGCCUGGAACUCAAAAGGAAGCUCCAUGUUCUGCUCAUGAAGUCCCUGCACAACUCCAGUACAGACAGAAGCAGCAACCUCACCUGUGAGAAGCCGCCUUCUUUGGUGCAAACUCGUAUUCUUCUGGAUACCAGCGUCUGUAAAGUUCUUUGACAGUGCUCACGUCAAUGAUCCGGUAAUGAAGAUGCCUCAUGAACUGUGGCAUGUAUUUGUCAAGAAAUUUCUUAUCUGCGUGAACAGAGUUACCUACAGAGACACAAAACAAGAUGUUAGCUCAGCGAUGUUGCAAAGCUCCUGCAAAAGACACCUAAGGGGAAUGGCUCAGCGAGCUGGGCAGAGAUGAGGGGUAGGACAAGCUAUUCCCAAAAAGCUUGUUUAGCCCUUUUUCUAGCAAAUAUGAUUGCAAAGGUUUGUCAGACUUUCCUUGUGGGAUCAGGCAUGGUGUUAAUACUUAAUCCGUCUAUAAUAAUUCAGAUUGCUCCUACCAUGUCUGUCAGGUAAGCAAUUAAAAGUAAGUAGCUCCUGAGGAGCAGUGGCAGCGUGUGCUGCUGUCUCCAGCCCACUCCUGAAGCACGGCCGAGCUCGAGUCCUCCGCUGGGGAAGGGGAAAGGCGCCCAGCACAGUACCUGAAUCUGCACUGAGGAAUGUGCAUUCUGUCAGCUCUGGGCUACUCUACACACAUCCUGUGCCUGUUUUCACCUGAGACUUCAAGUAACACCUUCCCCUUCCCCACUGGAAUGGUUUUGCUUUAUUCUGCGCACCACAGAACAGGCUUUACCCAGAGGAGCUUCCAGAGUCGCCUCUCUCACCCUGCCUGCAGCUCCCCCGCAAGCUGCUGCUCCGGCCACUGCAGCUCACACAGCAUCUCCCACACUGCUCAAACUGAUUAAAAACCAGGCUAUGAGGCACGGGCCACUUCAGGGCUGUAGUGUGGCUCAGGUACUGGAUGAGGGGUAAAGGUUCAGGGAUGCAACCUGCACCUGCACACCAGACCUUGAACAAAGCAGUACAUAUCACCUCCUCAGCACAAUCUAAGGAUGAUACUUACUGUCUGC